UCAGGGCUAAUCUUCCUCAAAAAAAAAAAAAAAGCUUCUAGUUCAGUCAUAUCUUAUUUGAUAAGGAGGUUUUUGAAUUGGUUUAAUCCAAAGUAUGUCUUAUAUCCUAGUAACGCUUUUUUGCCAAAUCAGAUUCUCAGAGGGUCCUGUGUACUCAAGGACAGUUUUUCAGGCUUUUUACGUGGACUCAAGAAGGAUUUGGAUGGAAGAGGUGUUAUCAAAACCACCUCUUUUCCCUGCUUUUCAACCCAUUUGUCCCUCUUUUAGUUUUGAAGGGAGAGGUGGAACUGGGAAAGAAAGAAGGAAGAAUACUUGAAGUCCGUUCAUACCUCUUGGAAAAUAAGAUACCUUACAUGGCUGCCUCAAAACUUACCUCCAUCACUGCUUCCCACUUUUCCUCUUGGCCUUUUCUUCAAGGGCCAGGACCCACAGAACUCUGAGCAGAGCAAACUAGACCCCCCUAUGGUGGCCCUCAUGCUAGGAAAGAGCCACAGCCUGUCUAUAAGCCCUCCUUAGCCUGUCUGGUCAGUGUCCCUCACUGCUCAGCCUGACUCCGCAUCUGCUUGCCUUGAGACCCAAGUUCAGGCCUGAGCCCACAAGGUUGGAGGAGCAGCUGUGAGAUGAAUGAUCAUUCUUUACUCAAUGUCUCAGAUGUCUCAGUCUGUCUGUAAUCAGGCCCAGGCUCCUCCCCUUUCCUAUUUAGUUUCUAUUAGCCCCUAGGCAGCAAUCAUAGAGUUAAGAGAUUGCCAGAAUCCAUUAGAGGAGGCCGAGGUGUAACUUUCUCUAACUUUGGACUUUCUUUGAAGAGGAAAUUCAUCUGAAUGAAGCUUGUAUAUACUCAUGUGAUGUUUUCUGCUAAGGGAUAUCAUGUUCCACACUGUCUGUGUUUUAAUUUACGCUGUUCUUAUAGAUAUAGUGGGUUUCCCCUGGGUGCCAUUACUUCUCAAUCACUUUCUCCAAGUCAAAAUUAAGGAUGCCAUCAAACUAGUGAAGAAACACUUGAAGCUGGCCAAGGUACUUUAUGCAUCCCAAGACAUGUCAGAAAAAUGGGCCCAGAGUCCUGGUACAUGGGAGUAGUUGGCAUGUAAAUCAGAUGACCUAGCAGCUUAUUGUUUAAGACUACUGAAUAAAAGCCAUCACUGGCAUUUACUGAUCUUGUGUCAGCCAAGGCUGAGCUACUCUGUAUAUUUAAUAAUUGAAAGUGUAGAUUCUGGGUAUGGAGCAUGGCAAUUAUUGUUUCUACUUAUCUCCCACAGAAUAUCAAUAUAGGUCACUAUGAAUUUUAUACCAUACCUUGUGUAAUGGGCUUAUAAGACCAUUCUUAUAACAAUGUAUUAGAAUUUUUGUACCAGAUUGAUAUGCUAUACACUGUUGUUUUCAAAUUUAUUUACAGCUGUAAGAAUCUCACUUAUUUGCAUAGUAUCCCACUAAUAUUUCUGUGUUUAUUGUUUUUAAGUGACACCAGUCCUUUGUCUGUGAGAAUUUACAACCUGCUGCUCUUAUAAGGUCAAGAAUAGUGGACCAAAGUGAACGCCAUUAGGCCACUCUCAGACCUCUUUCAAUAUUUUCAUUUUGGUACUGGACUCUUUUUUUGGACUCAGUGAAAUCAGUUUUGCAUUUGAAUUUUCAGUCUUUUUGACUUGGAAACAAUCAUGUUUUAACUCUGAAUAAAAUAAACUAAUUUUAUUUAUUGGACAGAUGUUUUCCCCUGGGCAUCAGAUAUUCAUGUGUGUUUGUGUCCUCCUUGGUUGAGUUCUCAACUGCAUCAGUGACCCCUCAGAUUCUCAAUGACUUGCUAUUUUCCGGAAGAGCAUGUCAUUGGACAUCCUUGUGUCCAUCUGUGUCAUCUCUGUGACGUCCUUCAUCCCAGCCAGUUCUGUUGUCUUCCUGAUCCAGGAGCAGAUCAGUAAAAUGAAGCACCUACAGAUCAUCAGCAGAAUGAAGCCUGUCAUCUACUGGCUCUCCAGUUUUGUCUGGGACAUGGGUUCCAUUUCUAACAGGAGCAGCGAGUAAAUAAUGGACCUGAAGUGACUGCCUCAGCGUUUUUAAAGAAAAGAAAAACCCUAAAGGAGAUGGUUUUAUUAUUCCUAAAUAACCAGAUGCCUUGGGGAUCUGUCUACUGGCUGUUACAAACCGCUGCUCUCAAGUAUUUACCGAGGAGUGGAAUUGCUAGGCCACAAGUCAGACUCCUGCAAAUCUGCACAAGGAAGAGGUGAAGUGGAUCCAAGCGGUACUUGUGAACUCCGGAUACUCAGCUUUGGUGAUGCAUCCCUGGUUUGUGAAGCUGAUAUUUCCAUUUUAGAGAUUAAAACAAAAACAUUGAACAAGAAGCUCAAAGAAGCUAAGUGACUGCCAAAGGGUAACAAAAUGCAUAGUUUAGAGCUGGUUUAUUCAUUUUAAUUUCUCUCCUAUAAUUUAGUAUUGGAGUGUACCAUAACUUAGUUAUCCUUCCCAUGUUGAUAUUUAAGUGUUCCCAUAUGAUUAUUUUAUAAAUAUGCGUCAAUGAAUAACUUUGUACAUAUCUCCUUGGGCAUAUACCUGUAACUGGAACUAAUGAAUCAAUUUAACACUGUAUAGUGUUGACUUAUACUCCACUGGCAGUAAACGGGAUUUCUUCUUUCUCCAUAUUCUUGACAAUUUUUGUAAGUUUAAUAUUUAUAUAUCUUUUGGCUGAGAAACCUCUCAUUGUUUGAAUUUACAUUUUUCUGAUUUCAUGUGAAUUGAGCAUAUUUUCAUAAUUUUAUAGGCCAUGUUGUUUUUCUUUUCUUUGAGUUCCCUCUUUCUAUCCUUAGCCCAAUUUUUUGUUAUGUUGUUCAUCUUUUUCUUAUUAAUUUGAUAACUUUAAAAAAAUAUUCUAGAUACUAGUCCUUUUUUGGCUAUAUUUGUUAUUGCUACAGUUUUCCAUUUUUGCCUUUAUUUAAACCUUCUUAAUGAUGCAUUUUUGCCAUAAAGCAGUUUCUGAAUUUGAAUUGUUAGUCCUUUAUGUUUUGUGCUUUCUUUUAGUCUCAUUUAAGAUAUACUCGUCCUAUCCCUGUGUGUGAAGACAUUCUCCUAUAUUUUCUUCUAGCUCUUUGACAAUUUUGCUUUGGCAUUUGGGUAUGUAACCUGUCUCAAAUUUAUUUAGGUCACAGUGUGAGGUGGAGGUUUAAUUUGAUCCUUUUUUUUUUUUUAAGUAUAAAGUAGUCCAUUACCAAAGCACAAUUUAUUAAAUACUUCAUCCAUUCCCUACUGAUUUGCAAUAUCAUCUUAUAUCAAAUACCAUUUAUUUAAGAUAUAAACUUCCACACAUGCACACGUUAUUUCUGAUUUCUCUCCUCCAUUUCAUUGAUGUAUUUAUCUUUACCAGUACUAAUACUAUGCUGUCUAAAUUACUGUA